UCUCUUACACGCGAAUUCAAGUUUCUUCACAGCCACCCUCACGAUCGCACAAUUUGCAUCAUGAGAGAUCCCUCUUAGCAUCACACACCAAGGAAAUGGACUAUCAAUUCAGGAAGCAUCACAACACACCAUUGGAGAAGUUGGAGUCCACCAAUCAUGGUUGCAAAGAGGCACGCACAGAAGAGGCAACCACACACCACAAUUUGGGCUACUAUACCCACAAGAAGCAG
rnacentral:lncRNA from 1 species